AUUGGCCAAUCACCGCUCUAGGAGGGUAUAGCGCUGGCCAAUCGGCGUGUAGGGAUUGUGUCAGGGCGGGGCGGCUGCGACCAAUGAAGGGGCGUCCCGGUGGAGUCCUAUUCCCGCGUUUGAGAAGGGCUGGGCAGCCAAUCAGAACGCAGGAUGGACAAAGCUUUUGAAUGCGAACGAGAAGAAUGGGCGUGGCUUGCGGGUGACUAAGAAUGUGUGGUAAUGUCUCCUCCCACCCUCCCGCUAAUCCGGAGCCGCCAGCUUUUUGUAUAACAAUGUAAAGUAGUUUGCAUUGCGGCACAAGGGACUGAGAAGAGGCGGAAUUUUCCAGUAUGAAGCGAUUGUCAUGUGAAGGGCUGACUAUUAUAUGUCACUUGGCGGAUUUCCCCUUCAGAAGUUUACAUUCCAUCCCAUCUGUAAUAUUGGAAGGCAUUCUGCGACGCCAGCGUCACCGAAACCCUCUCGGUGCACACCUAGUAGAGACGACGCCAAUUAGAAGUUUCCGCAGUUUAAAGCAGCAACAGAUGGUAUGUGUGCAAACAUCCAAUCUAGCAGAGGUCUUAACACACUAAUUGGGAGCCAUCAGGAUCUGACGCGAUGUUUCGGGGGACCGCCCCCUUACUCAUGCAUAGUAGAUCCUGGAUUUCCAAACCAUGAUGUAGGAAUCUCACAUCUGAAGCUUCAUCUCAGAGGAUCAGCACUGAAGCAUUAAGAUGAAAAUGGAAGCAUUGGGAGUUUGGAGUAGUCCCUGAGCUCCUGACUUUGCACAUAAGGCUCAUUACAAAGGUUUUAAGGAAGGGAUCUGCUUGACAACACUCACGCUUCUGUCAGGAUGAAGAUGUCAGUUUACUCACAAGUGAAUUUACCUGACUGACUGAAAAUCAAAAUGUAACAUAUGAAGGCACCUGCUUCCUCUACAUAUACCAGGCCUCAAUGCUGUGCAUGUGUAAUCACUGUAGAAUGGAAGAUCUCAAGGGAAGAUGCAUCUCUAAUGCUUCUGCUGUAUUAUGACUGAAUAUUCUGGAUCCCCUGAUGUAAGGCAGCUGAUGAGACACGUGGCAGGGAGAACUCUGGAAAUGAUGCAGCGGUUCACAUACUCUUGUGCAGCGCUUUAGUUCACACAAUGUGAAAGGGAUCAAGACCACAAGACGGGAGAUUCAGACAUGAACUGUUUAUUUUCCUUCAGUUGUGAUAUCCAAAUUGUUCUGAAAAUGAGCAGUUAAACAAAUUUUAGUGCAUUAUACAGAACAUCAAGAUUGUCAUACCUCAUUUGCAGAUGUGGCCUGAGAUUCUUCUCUUAUAUAAAGUUUUAGCUUCCAAAUUAGGGGACAAAUACUGUGUGAUAACUAGUAACAGUAACUAUUAUAGUUUCCAUAUGAUUGUCACCCAGUGUUCUUCAUGACCUAAGGCUAUAAUAAUCAGCAUUGCUGUGCAGAUAUC